rnacentral:lncRNA from 1 species
GACUGCCCUCUCCGGGAAUCCUGAUGGAAAAGGGACGGGUUUCGCAGGGAAUGAGGGCGUGGCCACGCAUGCGCUCCCAAGAGGCCGCCUCGUGUGUGUGCACUGCCUGGCUUUCCGAAGUAACACGUGGGCUUUGAGACUUAGGCCUCAUAUCUCAACAGUACUGAAUGUCCGGGUCAUUCAGUCGUUAGUCCUUCUGUCCCUGUCGGGUUUCAGCCCCAGUCUUGAGUGCCAGAGGCAAAGUAAUAAAAAUAAAGCCCUUAUUCUCAACGCGCUGUUCCUGGGAGAAAAGCCACCUGCAGGAGUCCUGCACAGGAGACCUCUGUUUUGUGACAUCCCCUGGGCGGACAGUCCAGUCUGGGUGGUGUUAUGGAUCUUGACACUGCUUGAAAGCUGUACUUUGUUGCUGACAUAAGGGAAAGGUAACUUUCUGGGUGGCACUUAGGCCUGUUUCCGCUCUCUGAGCGACCUUCGGUUCUGAGUCGUGAUCAGAUCUCCAUUUAAUGAGCUCGAGCCUCCAAAGGACUUAGAAAGCCAGCAGUAACUAAUGAUGAAGUGCAAUGUCUUCCUGUAAGACCUUCUGCCUGGACUUCAUUGAAGAAUAAUGGCAUCUUCCUCUUCCUUCAUCCCUUAACACAGGAGCCCAUCGAGUGUCCACAUGCACAGAGGAGUCACUUGUCCGCUGACAGCCAUGGCUUUGCAGUAAACGCCAAGGCAUAGAUGCUUCCAUCCCGUAAGCAAGAGCGAGACCUGGAAAUAGCCAGAGACCUAGGUGUGAAGUACAGGCUGUUCUGUUGGUAACAGAAAGGCAUCUCUGCAUCUCCUUCUUAAUUAAUGUCCCUUCUUGUUAUAGAAAUAAAUCUUAUGCUUGUGUGAAACUCAUACUGUAGAGGAGUCCUCCUGCCCUUACUCUGGCUUUAACUCCUUCCCACACAAAGUAACCUACUUCAUUUGCAGUCCAGGAGAGAUCCUUCAGUUUUGCUGCAUUUCUCAGUUAAGUACAGUAUGCAUCAGGCAGCAGAUUUUCUGUACCAAUGAAGUUACACUUUGCACAUUGUUCUAGAAAACACAUCACACAAUGAGAUGGUUAUCUCAUUUGUCACUUGUCUGUGUCUUUAAACAAUUUAAAGUAAAAUGCUUGUGGUUCAUCUUUACCUCUUACAAAUAAUAGAAAAUAAAAUGCUACACAUGGUGUC